AUCUCUGUAGAGUCUGCAUAUCAAUAAGCGGAGGAAAAGAAACUAACUAGGAUUCCCUAGUAACGGCGAGUGAAGCGGGAAGAGCUCAAAUUUGAAAUCUUAAAGGUUUUCCCUUGACGAAUUGUAGUUUAAAGAAGUGUUUUCUGUUGAGGUUUUGGUAAAAGUUCUUUGGAAUAGGACAUCAUAGAGGGUGAGAAUCCCGUAUUUGACCAUUACUUUCAGCUUUGUGAUACACUUUCAAAGAGUCGGAUUGUUUGGGAAUGCAGUCCAAAAUGGGUGGUAAAUUUCAUCUAAAGCUAAAUACUGGCGAGAGACCGAUAGCGAACAAGUACCGUGAGGGAAAGAUGAAAAGAACUUUGAAAAGAGAGUUAAACAGCUACGUGAAAUUGUCAAAAGGGAAGCGUUUGACACCAGUGUUGUUUUCUCGAAAAUCAAUUAAAAAAGGCAGGAUUUUGUGUUGUAUUGACUUUAUCAGCUUUCUGCACUCCUUUCUUGUCUUUUUUAAUGCACUUUUCGUUUAACAAGUCAACAUCAAUUUCUUUUGUUGUAAAAGGGUCAUUGGAAGGUGGCUUUCUUUUCGGAGAAAGUGUUUAUAGCCUUUGGCCUCUGCAAUCGGAGAGAUUGAGGUCUGCAGCGUAGAUCCUUCGGGGUUAGAUACAUUUGUGCUAAGUUAUAGCCUUUCAUAGACAACUUGUUGACUAUGAUCAGUCAUGUAGCUUACUCGCUUAUGCUAUUUUACCUACGCUUAGGAUGUUGACGAUCAGCUGAGCGCG
rnacentral:rRNA from 1 species